GGCAUCGUGCGUGGACUAGCAAGAUGAGCUCUGAGUCGCAGCCCCGUCCCUCCCUUCCUGGCUGUGUGGCCUGCGACAGUUCAUUGCCUUUCCCGAGGCUCAGGUUUCUCAUGGCAAGUCGGGAUGACAACGCCUGCUGAGGAUGACGUAGCACGCGUGAAGCCCCAGCUGCCGUGGCACAGAGCAAAUACUCAGGACCGGCGAGGCCCCGUCUCUGAUGGCUCGUUUGUGAUUUGUCGACUGGAUGGAGGAGGUUUGCAGAGAACAAAUGUGGAAAGUGUGACGUUGUUACCACCCAGUGAAGGCUUCUUGCUUGUUUGCGUUGAACAAAGCAGCCUGCCAUGUUGUGAGCUGCACCAUGGUGAGGCCCACACGGCAAGGACCUGAAGGACGCUUCUAGCCAAUGGCAAGUGAGGAGCUGAGACCUUUGACCCAAUGUCUGGUGAGGAAAUGAAUCCUUCCAACAACAAUGUAAGUGAGCUUAGAAGAGGAUUCCCCCACACUUGAGCCUUCAGAUGAGACUGGGGCCUUGGCCGACACCUCGAUUGCAGCCUUGUGUGGGGCCUUGAGACAGAAGCACCCAUCCAAGCCAUGACUGGACUCUUGACCCACCGGAGCUAAGUUUACCCCAGUUCCACCCACCACCCCAGCAGAGGGGAGUUGCUCACAGAUUACUUUUCAGCAGGGGACACUGACUGUACCCCUCCUUCUGAUCAGCCUCUGUGUCUAGAGAAGCCCGUCCAGGGAGUGUGGACAGCUCUCUGAUACGCAGACUAUUUCCAGGGAAUUAUCUCGGGGUGUGUGUCCUG